AUGGCAUUGUCCCUGCCUUAUCAAGACUGUUGGGUAUUAACAACGAUCAGAGGCGGUCCAACCAUAAGGCGAAAUAGGCAUUUGCCUGUGGCGCCAUCGUCCCGGGGGCACCAUCGUCCUGGGAGGAGGGCACCACUCUCACCCUUCCAGCGGCCGCGCUGGGCCUUCCGGCCAGCGCAGACCCACCUUCGCACCACGCAAGCCCACCUUUGGGGCCUUCAGAGAUUGUGAGGU
rnacentral:lncRNA from 11 species